rnacentral:rRNA from 1 species
UACGGAGGGUGCGAGCGUUGUCCGGAAUCAUUGGGCGUAAAGGGCGCGUAGGUGGCCCGGUCAGCGUGCGGUGAAAGCUCGGGGCUCAACCCCGAGUCGGCCGUGCGAACUGCUGGGCUUGAGCACUGUAGAGGCAGGCGGAAUUCCGGGUGUAGCGGUGGAAUGCGUAGAGAUCCGGAAGAACACCGGUGGCGAAGGCGGCCUGCUGGGCAGUGGCUGACGCUGAGGCGCGACAGCGUGGGGAGCAAACAGG